UAGUAAUUUAUUAUUAUUUAUAUUUAUAUUUAUUUUAUUUAUAAAAAUUAAUUUUUUUUUGAUUAUUUAUUUAGAAAAAAUUUUUAUUAUGAUAGUUUAUUAGUACUGAAAGGGAAAUUAUAUUUUAUUUUUAAAGAAGAAUUAAAUUUUUGUACCUUGUGUGUCAGGGUUUAUUUAAUUUAUUUUAUGUAUUUAAUUUUCCCGAAUUAAAAAGAGCUAAAUUAGAAUAUAUUUUAUUGUAACAUAAAUAUUUAAAAUUUUAAUUUAGGUGUCAUAUGCAAUUCAAUUUUUAUAAUAUCUGGUUUUUUUAAAAAUAAGUUUAAUUUAGCUAUAAAUUAAAAAGGUUUUAUUUAUUAAUUGUUUUUUUUGUUUAUAGUAAUAUUUUAAGGGAUGAGCUUUAAAAUAUAUAAUACAAAUUAUUAUUUAGAACAAUUAUUUAGGAUUAAAAAUUUCUAUUUUUAAAAAUUUUUUAUUAUUUUUUUGUUAUUAUUUUGAUUUUUAUAUAAUUUUAUUUUUUUAAGAAAAUAAUUUUUUUAAUUUAUAAUAAAGUUUAAUAUUGAUAAAAUUAGUAUUUUAUUUAUUAUUUUUUUUUAUUUUAUAAUUAAGAUAAAGGAAUUCGGCAAAAUUUUUACUCACCUGUUUAAUAAAAACAUGUCUUUUUGAAGUUAAUUUAAAGUUUAACCUGCCCAAUGAAUUUUUAAUGGCUGCAGUAUUUUGACUGUACAAAGGUAGCAUAAUCAGUAGUUUUUUAAUUGAAAGCUGGAAUGAAAGGUUGGAUGAAGUAAAAUCUGUCUCUGUUUUAUUACAAUAAUUUUAUUUUUGAGUUAAAAAGCUUAAAUGUUUAAAGAAGACGAUAAGACCCUAUAGAAUUUUAUAUUUUUAUGUUUUUUAUUUAUAGGUAUUUAAUUUGAAAGACUUAAAUAUAUUUGAUUGGGGUGAUUAGAAAAUUUAAUUAACUUUUUUUUUAUUUACAUUAAUUUAUGGUUUCAUGAUCCUUUUUAAAGAUUAAAAGAUAAAUUACCUUAGGGAUAACAGCGUAAUUUUUUUUGAGAGUUCUAAUCGAAAAAAAAGUUUGCGACCUCGAUGUUGGAUUAAAAUUAAUAUAUGGCGCAGAAGCUUUAUUAUUAGGUCUGUUCGACCUUUAAAAUUUUACAUGAUCUGAGUUUAGACCGGCGUGAGCCAGGUUGGUUUCUAUCUCUUUAAAUUUAAGAAUUUUUUAGUACGAAAGGACCAAAUAUU
rnacentral:rRNA from 1 species